AGUAAGAGACCGGUGUCGGGGAGCAGGCAGGCGGUGGCCAGGCGGUGGGGAGCAUCAAGUCCGGAUAGAUUUUGAGGAUGGGGCUGACAGGACUUGCUAUGGGUCGGAUUCGGGAUGAGAAACCGAGGAGGAGGGAGAAAAAUCUGGAAGCAACAUGGAGCUGGACUGGAGGUUGGAGGCAGAGAGGCUCAAAUGCAAGGGAAUGACCAGAGGUGUGGAGGGCCCUGUGUGCCAAAAGCUGGAAGACUCUUGGCUUUGGGCACCCCUUCCAUGCCUUCUCUAAGUUCCCUCUCUACUUGUGGGGGAAGAAGAAGGGGAAAGAAGAAAUUUCUCAUCAGUACCCUUUCUUUCUCUAGAGGGUUCUGUGCUACAUAACAAAUUAUACAAAUAUACAUAAAAAUGUAGCCACCUACA